rnacentral:lncRNA from 1 species
CUAUACAUUACAUCAACUAAUAAACUUAGAAACUUAAGAAAACACCGAAUAACAUACUCCUGGAAUGGAACAGGUACACGAAGAAAAGAGUUAAACAUGCAAAUAAAGAUAAAAUUGAGAAUUGAUACGGAGAAUAUGUGAGAGAGACAACAACCCUACCAAAGAAUAGAAAAAAGCCCAAAUCAACCAUUGAGUCUUCAAC